rnacentral:rRNA from 1 species
CUGCGCGGAAGAUGUAACGGGGCUAAACCAUGCACCGAAGCUGCGGCAGCGAACGUAUCACCCAAGACAACUUUACGGAGUUGACGAUUGACGGAGCGAAGCGACGUCAAAGCGUUCAUUAAAGUCGAGUUGGCUUAGGGAUACGUUCGUUGGGUAGGGGAGCGUUCUGUAAGCCUGUGAAGGUGUGUCGUGAGGCAUGCUGGAGGUAUCAGAAGUGCGAAUGCUGACAUAAGUAACGAUAAAGCGGGUGAAAAGCCCGCUCGCCGGAAGACCAAGGGUUCCUGUCCAACGUUAAUCGGGGCAGGGUGAGUCGACCCCUAAGGCGAGGCCGAAAGGCGUAGUCGAUGGGAAACGGGUUAAUAUUCCCGUACUUGGUGUUACUGCGAAGGGGGGACGGAGAAGGCUAUGUUGGCCGGGCGACGGUUGUCCCGGUUUAAGCGUGUAGGUGUGUGUUCCAGGUAAAUCCGGUUCACUUUAACACUGAGGCGUGACGACGAGGCACUACGGUGCUGAAGCAACAAAUGCCCUGCUUCCAGGAAAAGCCUCUAAGCAUCAGGUAACACGAAAUCGUACCCCAAACCGACACAGGUGGUCAGGUAGAGAAUACCAAGGCGCUUGAGAGAACUCGGGUGAAGGAACUAGGCAAAAUGGUGCCGUAACUUCGGGAGAAGGCACGCUGACACGUAGGUGAAGUGAUUUACUCAUGGAGCUGAAGUCAGUCGAAGAUACCAGCUGGCUGCAACUGUUUAUUAAAAACACAGCACUGUGCAAACACGAAAGUGGACGUAUACGGUGUGACGCCUGCCCGGUGCCGGAAGGUUAAUUGAUGGGGUCAGCGUAAGCGAAGCUCCUGAUCGAAGCCCCGGUAAACGGCGGCCGUAACUAUAACGGUCCUAAGGUAGCGAAAUUCCUUGUCGGGUAAGUUCCGACCUGCACGAAUGGCGUAAUGAUGGCCAGGCUGUCUCCACCCGAGACUCAGUGAAAUUGAACUCGCUGUGAAGAUGCAGUGUACCCGCGGCAAGACGGAAAGACCCCGUGAACCUUUACUAUAGCUUGACACUGAACAUUGAGCCUUGAUGUGUAGGAUAGGUGGGAGGCUUUGAAGUGUGGACGCCAGUCUGCAUGGAGCCGACCUUGAAAUACCACCCUUUAAUGUUUGAUGUUCUAACGUGGACCCGUAAUCCGGGUUGCGGACAGUGUCUGGUGGGUAGUUUGACUGGGGCGGUCUCCUCCUAAAGAGUAACGGAGGAGCACGAAGGUUGGCUAAUCCUGGUCGGACAUCAGGAGGUUAGUGCAAUGGCAUAAGCCAGCUUGACUGCGAGCGUGACGGCGCGAGCAGGUGCGAAAGCAGGUCAUAGUGAUCCGGUGGUUCUGAAUGGAAGGGCCAUCGCUCAACGGAUAAAAGGUACUCCGGGGAUAACAGGCUGAUACCGCCCAAGAGUUCAUAUCGACGGCGGUGUUUGGCACCUCGAUGUCGGCUCAUCACAUCCUGGGGCUGAAGUAGGUCCCAAGGGUAUGGCUGUUCGCCAUUUAAAGUGGUACGCGAGCUGGGUUUAGAACGUCGUGAGACAGUUCGGUCCCUAUCUGCCGUGGGCGCUGGAGAACUGAGGGGGGCUGCUCCUAGUACGAGAGGACCGGAGUGGACGCAUCACUGGUGUUCGGGUUGUCAUGCCAAUGGCACUGCCCGGUAGCUAAAUGCGGAAGAGAUAAGUGCUGAAAGCAUCUAAGCACGAAACUUGCCCCGAGAUGAGUUCUCCCUGAGACUUAGAGUCUCCUGAAGGAACGUUGAAGACGACGACGUUGAUAGGCCGGGUGUGUAAGCGCAGCGAUGCGUUGAGCUAACCGGUACUAAUGAACCGUGAGGCUUAACCUU